AAGUCGUAACAAGGUCUCCGUUGGUGACCAGCGGAGGGAUCAUUACCGAGUACUAUAACUCAUAACCCUUUGUGAACCUUCAUACCUGUUGCUUCGGCGGCGCGCCUCUCGGGGCGUGCCCGCCGGCAUUAUCAGAAUCUCUGUUCGAACCCGACGAUACUUCUGAGUGUUCUAAGCGAACUGUUAAAACUUUCAACAACGGAUCUCUUGGCUCCA
rnacentral:misc_RNA from 1 species